rnacentral:lncRNA from 1 species
GCAAUCUGAAGCUCGACCUAAGCUUUGUAGUUAUCAUCUACGGUCAAAUCGCCUUCGAAGUCAAGAUUUAACUCUCCAUCUUGUCUAGGAAAUCCUCUCUAUGUCGGAAGGUGAUGCGAGCUAAAUACAACUAACAAUCUACACGAAAGUGCACCUAUCGAAUGUAAUCUAGCUACGAAAAGUAUCAAUGUCGUAUCCCACAGGAACUGAGAAGCUACUGCUAC